AGAAAACAGUCAGCUCUUGAAACCCCCUUUGCUGCCCAAUGAGACCUCCACUCAGGAAGGAGGAAGUCAGAGAGAGCUGGCCCCUGGCCCAAUUGCAUCUCAAAAGCUCCUCCUCCCUAAGUCAGCUGAGUGUUUGUUCUCUGCCUUCUUGGUGUUCUGGCCCUUGGGGCUUCACUGACUGGAGGGAGGAAUGCACACAGAACCAACUCCUAGAGUUGUAAGCCACUUCUUCCUGCCUCUGCACCCUUUUAUCAGAACUCUGGGCACCGUAGUCCCUACUCUCAUUCUUCCUGGGCAGGAACCAGAUACCAGGAACAGCCCCCAGGCCUCAGAGCUCAGAAACCACUCAAACUUGCCAGUCCCAAGCCCACUUACCCUCCUACCAUCCCUUCCUAUGAAAACCACAAUUCUUUCCCUAGCCCCUGCCUCCCUACCUCUGACUCCUGACUGACCCCACUGCUUUCCCAUGGGAUCCCACACAUUGGUGUUUGGGGUGACAGCUCCAGGCUUUGGGUCAGCCCUGGUUCCAGUGGCCCAAGAUCAGCUUGAAGGCAUUCAGACCUGUGUGUGCUGAGAGAUGGAAAGGGGCCCCAGAGGUGACAUCACACCCAGGCAAACAGAGAAGGGGAGGGUGGUCUGGGGGCAAUUGCACCUGGGUGACCCAUCAGAAGGUCCCCAGGCUGCUCCCUCCCUGCACAACCCAGGUGCUGUGAGUUCAGGGGCCACCCAGGUGUGGCGUCAGCUUGACAUGACUGCAACCAUCUGGAGCUGUAACCAUCCUGCCUCUCCUGAGUGACUCUAGUCGGUUUUCCUGCAUAUUUUCCCAGCAAACUAUAAUGCAUAAAUCCAAAAGGUUGAUACACAGAGCUUUGCAACUAGACCUUUUGCAAGGAUGUGCCCAAUUCCUCAGUUCCAGCCAGAAUGAAAUCACUUUUGUCCUGACCAAUAAAUAUGCCCCUCUUUCUGACCCAAAUUGCAGGCAUCCAACUGGUCUUGCUGCCACAUAGGACCAUGCUUCUGUCUGUAAGGCCCCAAUAAAUUUCACUCUGCAACCAUGGCUCUGUCUGCCUCUCUUUCUUUGGUCUCACAGCACCUUGGAGUCGGUUCUUAUAUGCUGGGAUGGAGCUAUUCUGAAUCGAUUGGCAAGCCAACUGGGAGAUCCAGGAAAGGGAUAAGGGGAAGGAAGGAUCUUGGGGGAAAGUUA
rnacentral:lncRNA from 1 species